AUAAAUGGACUUGGUUGUAGCUGGUCUCUCUCUGGGGGAGGUGCCGCCGGUCCUCUCAAUUUUCCACCCUGGGGCACUUUACAGGAACCGGGUCGCGCAGGCUUUUCAAAAGCUGGCAACACCGGUCGGGGGCACCCACCAACCAUAUUUUGUUUAGGAAGGGCCAAAAAACGCUUAGGAGGCUUUAAUAAAAUACACCUUUCACCACCGAAUCUCUGGGUCCCCGCAUCGAGAAAAAACGCACCGAAUGGCGAUAAGUAAUGUGAAUUGCAGAUUCAGUGAUCAUCGAAUCUUUGAACGCACCUUGCGCUCCUUGGUAUUCCGAGGAGCAUGCCUGUUUGAGUGUCAUGGUAUUCUCAACCCUCCAGAUUCUUGUCGAGUUUGGAUGGGUUGGACUUGGAGGCUUUUAUUGCUGGUGAUCUCUCACCGGCUCCUCUGAAAUACAUUAGCAGGAAUACGGCUGCAUUGGCUUCAGGGUGAUAAUUGUCUACGCUGUUGCUGUGUGGCAUAUAAAAAUGGUUCUUGCUUCUAAUCUGUCUUUCUCUGAGAGACAACCUUUUCUUGACAAUCUGACCUCAAAUCAGGUAGGACUACCCGCUGAACUUAAGCAUAUCAAUAAGCGGAGGAAAAGAAACUAACAAGGAUUCCCCUAGUAACUGCGAGUGAAGCGGGAAAAGCUCAAAUUUAAAAUCUGGCGGUCUUUGGCCGUCCGAGUUGUAGUCUGGAGAAGUGUUUUCCGCGCUGGACCGUGUACAAGUCUCUUGGAAUAGAGCGUCAUAGAGGGUGAGAAUCCCGUCUUUGACAUGGACUACCAGUGCUUUGUGAUGCGCUCUCAAAGAGUCGAGUUGUUUGGGAAUGCAGCUCAAAAUGGGUGGUGAAUUCCAUCUAAAGCUAAAUAUUGGCGAGAGACCGAUAGCGAACAAGUACCGUGAGGGAAAGAUGAAAAGCACUUUGGAAAGAGAGUUAAACAGUACGUGAAAUUGCUGAAAGGGAAACGCUUGAAGUCAGUCGCGUCAUUCAGAACUCAGCCCGGCUUUUUUGCUUGGUGUAUUUUCUGCUUGACGGGCCAGCAUCAAUUUUGGCUGCUGGAAAAAGGCCGGGGGAAUGUGGCACCUUUUGGUGUGUUAUAGCCCUUGGUCAUAUACAGCAGCUGGGAUUGAGGACCGCAGCACGCCUUUAUGGUUGGGGUUCGCCCACAUUCGUGCUUAGGAUGCUGGCGUAAUGGCUUUAAACGACCCGUCUUGAAACACGGACCAAGGAGUCUAACAUGCCUGCGAGUAUUUGGGUGGCAAACCCGAGUGCGCAAUGAAAGUGAAAGUUGGGAUCUCUGUCGUGGAGAGCACCGACGCCCGGACCAGACCUUUUGCGACGGCUCCGCGGUUGAGCAUGUAUGUUGGGACCCGAAAGAUGGUGAACUAUGCCUGAAUAGGGUGAAGCCAGAGGAAACUCUGGUGGAGGCUCGUAGCGAUUCUGACGUGCAAAUCGAUCGUCAAAUUUGGGUAUAGGGGCGAAAGACUAAUCGAACCAUCUAGUAGCUGGUUCCUGCCGAAGUUUCCCUCAGGAUAGCAGAAACUCAUGUCAGAUUUAUGUGGUAAAGCGAAUGAUUAGAGGCCUUGGGGUUGAAACAACCUUAACCUAUUCUCAAACUUUAAAUAUGUAAGAACGAGCCGUCUCUUAAUUGGACCGCUCGGCGAAUGAGAGUUUCUAGUGGGCCAUUUUUGGUAAGCAGAACUGGCGAUGCGGGAUGAACCGAACGCGAGGUUAAGGUGCCGGAAUGCACGCUCAUCAGACACCACAAAAGGUGUUAGUUCAUCUAGACAGCAGGACGGUGGCCAUGGAAGUCGGAAUCCGCUAAGGAGUGUGUAACAACUCACCUGCCGAAUGAACUAGCCCUGAAAAUGGAUGGCGCUCAAGCGUGCUACCCAUACCUCGCCGUCAGUGUUGAAAUGAUGCACCGACGAGUAGGCAGGCGUGGAGGUUGGUGAAGAAGCCUAGGCAGCAAUGCUGGGUGAAACAGCCUCUAGUG
rnacentral:rRNA from 1 species